GACGGGGGGGGCAAGUGUUCUUCGGAAUGACUGGGCGUAAAGGGCGCGUAGGCGGUGAAUCGGGUUGAAAGUGAAAGUCGCCAAAAAGUGGCGGAAUGCUCUCGAAACCAAUUCACUUGAGUGAGACAGAGGAGAGUGGAAUUUCGUGUGUAGGGGUGAAAUCCGUAGAUCUACGAAGGAACGCCAAAAGCGAAGGCAGCUCUCUGGGUCCCUACCGACGCUGGGGUGCGAAAGCAUGGGGAGCGAACAGG
rnacentral:rRNA from 1 species